rnacentral:rRNA from 1 species
UCCUACGGGGGGCAGCAGUAGGGAAUUUUCGUCAAUGGGCGCAAGCCUGAACGAGCAAUGCCGCGUGAACGAGGAAGGUCUUCGGAUCGUAAAGUUCUGCUGAAGGGGAAAAAGAGCGGAGAGAGGAAAUGGUCUCCGAUUGAUAUUACCCUUCGAGGAAGUCACGGCUAACUACGUGCCAGCAGCCGCGGUAAUACGUAGGUGGCGAGCGUUAUCCGGAAUGAUUGGGCGUAAAGGGUGCGUAGGCGGCCUGCUAAGUCUGGAGUGAAAGGUACCGGCUCAACCGGUACAGGCUCUGGAAACUG